rnacentral:misc_RNA from 1 species
AAGUCGUAACAAGGUUUCCGUAGGUGAACCUGCGGAAGGAUCAUUAACACGUAUCCAAACGUUAAAACCCCCCCCGUGAACUUUCAAUCCUGCUCUUGUAACCCGCGUAGUUCCGCAAUCUCUGGUAAAUCAUAGCCCGGAAAGUUGUUUUGAUUCAGAGACCUCUGGCUACGUGAGUGUAAAGCUCAAUGUAAUACAUUGGGUAAAAAAACCGAACAACUGUUAACAAUGGAUAUCUUGGUUCUC